rnacentral:rRNA from 1 species
AUGGCAAAGUAUGUCCAGAGUGCUCCUGUUAGCAAUGAAGCAUUGCAGCACAAGGAGUUUCUCUUGGACAACUUGUACAUGGAGCAACGUACCGAACUGAAUACCAUGGAGACCAUCAUAUUGGAUUCCAAUCUUCCUCAAAGGUUUGGCUGCAUUGCGGCUACUGAUUACGCCAUAUAUGAUGGCAUUGGCCUCGACAAGAAGCUUGUUGCGCGUGCACAGGGGCUAAAUAUGGCGGUUGGUGCAACAAAUGGAACCUGGUCGUUCUGUUUUAACAUGGUGUUCGUCGAUGAGAGGUUCACGGGCUCUAGCCUUAAGGUGCUUGGAAAUUUGGCAGAACCGUAUGAAGGUGAAUGGGCAAUCCUUGGAGGGACGGGUGAAUUUGCCUAUGCACAAGGUGUUGUAACCUUCAAGAAGAUCCAAGAAUUUGAAAACGGGAAAAGUAGGUUAAGGGAGCUUCAGAUCCGUGCCGUGUGCGUCAAAUUCUCGUCGUCCCUGUCAUUGCCUGUAAAGAUGGGGCCAUGGGGCGGAAACGGAGGCUCCAUUCAAGAUAUGACCACAGGAAAACCGAUGCGCCUAGAAAGUGUGACGAUUCAUAGUGACAACAGCUGGAUUGUCUACUCCCUUGCAUUUACUUAUAUUGACAAACUUGGGAAGAGGCGCAAGGAGGGUCCUUGGGGUCCUGACAAAGGAACCAGUCAAACUAUUGAGUUUGGGCCUAAAGAGUAUGUGAGGGAAAUAUCAGGGACCAUUGACACUGUCAUAUCGUCACUUGUUAUCACGACGAACUUCAAAAAGUAUGGACCGUUUGGGCAUGAGAAGGGUAAUCGUUUCAGUGCUACUGUGCCAGAAAAUACAUGUGUUGUGGGAUUCUUCGCCAGGACCGGGAAUGCUCUAGAUGCCAUUGGUAUUUACCAUGGCCCCAUUGUGGUUUGA